UGUUUCCGGCCGCUGGGUGGGGCUGUGGGGUUGCUCCUUCUGCGCAGGCCCCGGGGGCGUUUCGCGCUGGCAUCAUGUCGCCGCCGCCAUUAGCGCUCCGCUCCCGGGCGGCUCUGCCUCGUCGGGGCCCGGAAGGGGGUUCGGGGCGAAUCGAGGCCUCGAAGAUGGUCGCCCCGUCGUAGGGGGAGCCUCCCCCGGCGGGCGGCUGGGGGCCGGUGGCGGAGCGCUUAGUAGAGUGCCGCGCGCGCGGCAGGCGCUCCAUGAUGGCGUCCGUGGCUGAGGACAGGCCCUGCCGCGGGGCCGGGGGCAAACAGCGGACGGACGCACAAGGAUCUGGGUGCCCAUCCUGAGAGCCAGAACUGCGAGUGGUGUCCUCCAGCAUACAGGCAAGU